GUCUAUUUGAAGAUAUAAAAAGUUUAACCUGCCCACUGAUAAUUUGAAAUUGAAUGGCCGCGGUAUCUUGACCGUGCAAAGGUAGCAUAAUCGUUAGUUUUUUAAUUGGAAUCUUGUAUGAAUGGUUGGACAAAAGAAAGUCUGUCUUUGUACCAUUAAUUGAAUUUAACUUUUAAGUGAAAAGGCUUAAAUAAAUUAAAGGGACGAUAAGACCCUAUAAAGCUUAAUAUUAAAAUUUUAUUUAGUUGAAUUUUUUGUUAUAAAAACUUAGUAAUUGAGUUUAUUUUAUUGGGGCGAUAAGAGUAAAAUGAUUAUUAACUGCUUAAUUUUUAAUACAUUUAUAGAUGAUUAAAUUUUUAGAUGAUCCUAGUUAGAGAUUAAAAGUUUAAGUUACUUUAGGGAUAACAGCGUUAUUUUUCUUAAGAGUACUUAUCGAAAGAAAAGUUUGCGACCUCGAUGUUGAAUUAAAAUAUCUUUAUAAUUGCAGCAGUUAUAAAAGUAGGUCUGUUCGACCUUUAAAAUUUUACAUGAUUUGAGUUCAAACCGGCGUGAG
rnacentral:rRNA from 1 species